UACAGAGGGUGCGAGCGUUGUUCGGAAUUACUGGGCGUAAAGCGCGCGCAGGCGGCCACUUGAGUCCGCUGGUGAAAGACCGGGGCUCAACCCCGUGUCAGCCAGGGAUACUGGGUGGCUGGAGACAGGUAGAGGCAAGCGGAAUUCCGGGUGUAGCGGUGGAAUGCGUAGAGAUCCGGAAGAACACCGGAGGCGAAGGCGGCUUGCUGGACCUGGUCUGACGCUGAGGCGCGAAAGCGUGGGGAGCGAACAGG
rnacentral:rRNA from 1 species